GUAAACGGCGGCCGUAACUAUAACGGUCCUAAGGUAGCGAAAUUCCUUGUCGGGUAAGUUCCGACCCGCACGAAAGGCGUAAUGAUUUGAGCACUGUCUCGACAAUGCAUCCGGUGAAAUUGAAGUACCAGUGAAGAUGCUGGUUACCCGCGCCAGGACGGAAAGACCCCAUGGAGCUUUACUCCAGUUUGAUACUGGGAUUCGGUACUGCACGUACAGGAUAGGUGGGAGACUGAGAACUAUGGACGCCAGUCUGUAGGGAGUCGCUGUUGGGAUACCACCCCUGUAGUACUGGGUUUCUAACCAUCUGCCGUGACCCGGCAGUGGGACAAUGUCAGGCGGGGAGUUUGACUGGGGCGGUCGCCUCCGAAAGGGUAUCGGAGGCGCUCAAAGGUUCCCUCAGAAUGGUCGGAAACCAUUUGAAGAGUGCAAAGGCAGAAGGGAGCUUGACUGCGACACCGACGGGUGGAGCAGGUACGAAAGUAGGACUUAGUGAUCCGGUGGUAUAAAGUGGGAUUGCCAUCGCUCAACGGAUAAAAGCUACCCUGGGGAUAACAGGCUUAUCACUCCCAAGAGUUCACAUCGACGGAGUGGUUUGGCACCUCGAUGUCGGCUCAUCGCAUCCUGGGGCUGUAGCAGGUCCCAAGGGUUGGGCUGUUCGCCCAUUAAAGCGGUACGCGAGCUGGGUUCAGAACGUCGUGAGACAGUUCGGUCCCUAUCCGGCGCGGGCGGAGGAUAUUUGAGAGGAGCUGUCCUUAGUACGAGAGGACCGGGAUGGACGGACCACUGGUGUAUCUGUUGUCGACCAACGGCAUGGCAGAGUAGCCAAGUCUGGAAGGGAUAAACGCUGAAGGCAUCUAAGCGUGAAGCCCCCCUCAAGAUGAGAUAUCCCUCCUUCGGGAGUAAGACCCCUUGAAGACUACAAGGUAGAUAGGGCAGAGGUGGAAGUGUGGCAACACAUGGAGCUGACUGUUACUAAUAGGUCGAGGGCUUGAUUAA
rnacentral:rRNA from 1 species